UAUCUUCUGCACUGUUUGUUAUCCGACUGGGUAUAUCCCUUGAGCCUAAUUUCGCACCCCGGGGACAUGUUGGUGGCUGUUGGUGAGCACGUCCGCCACGGCGGAAAGCCUUAGGCGGUCCCAAUUCUCCCCACCUGAACCGAUUGGUUCAAGGUAGCACAUCGGAAACGGCAUUGUGGUUGAUAC
rnacentral:other from 1 species